CGAGGGGUCAAGAAACCACAUCCCCAAAUCCAGCGGCAUCUCAGAGAGAAAGGCUGAUGGGAAGCUGCCCAGGGCUGACCUGGCACAUGCUGGGAAAACCCCUCAGUGCCAGGGCAGGAGGCAGAGCGUCUGCAGCUCCUCCCUCCCCAACACAGGGGGUAAGGAAUACAGCAGAACGGGAAUCGGGCGCCUUCAUGCUGCUGUUACCGCCCUUGGUUCAUGGCUUCUUUCACUUGGAAACCCCAGGAGGUGGGCAUUGCUGUAACGCAUGUGCUACUGACCAAAACAGGCCAAAGCUCAGCGAGGGGUGGGAUCACCUAAGGUUGUGCAGCACCUACGUGGUGGAGUGAGGAUCCGAACCUCCAUCUUUCAUGCAUUAAUUCAUUCUGUCUCUGGAUUCCACUAGAAGCAGACCCUGAGGCAAGGAUCCACAUGUAAGUAGCUUAUUUAGACAGAGCAGAAAAUAUCAAUGGGAGAUUGAAGAAGUGAGACAAGGCAGGGAAGGUGGCUCAUAAAAGGUAUGUUUUCAAGACAGCUGCUCCUGUGGGCAACUGGAGCUUAAUCCCCCCAGGGAAUCUGGGAGCCAGGGUGGAACAGGCCUCAGAGUGACUGCACCAAUGGCGCCCGGGAGUUGGGGUAUAAAUACCAACUCCCAAUGUUGGUUGAGUGCUGCUCCUGGGGGGCUUCUAUUUCUCUCUGUAUGGGAGGUAAAGCGGGCCCUGGAGGCCACAAAAAGAAUCCUCCAGGAAAGAAAUCUCAGUGCUGCCAUUCAGAAAAGCAAUCAGCAUGCCCUGAAGUGCUAGGGCAAAAGGGUGGAAGCAGGCACUGACAUAUCUACUCCAUAACUUGCCCAACAAACACUGUACAGGGUCCCUCCUAGGGGACUGAUGCUGAGCCAGACCCGGGGCAUGUGCAAGGGAACCUGACCCACCAGGUCCUAGCAGCUCUGUGCUAUGAGGGAAGGCAAACAGGUAAUGUUUCCAAGAAAAAAAAAAAAUCAAGUAGGGACACAUUCUAGGAAAAAAAUAAGAGAGAAUUAUUAAUGGCCCAUGGAACAGCUAUUUUAGAAUGAAUGGUUAAAGCAGGCUUCUCUGAGCAGGUAACUUUCUAACUCCUAAACCAAAGGUGGCUUUUUAACUCCAGCAUUAACAUAACACUGAAUAGCAACCUGCAGGGAGAUACUGCGCUGCCCUCAGAAGUAGCUCCAAUUUAAUAAAUUAUUGCAUUAAAAAGGAACAAACUAUUGACACACACAACAAUUUGGAAGGAUGUCAAGGGCAUUAAGCUGAGUGAAAAAAGCGAGUCUCAGAAAGGUUACCAACUCUGGUAAUGACAUAAAUGCUACAUAAAUUGGCUGGGCGCAGUGGCUCACGCCUGUAAUCCCAGCACUUUGAGAGGCCGAGGUGGGCGGAUCACGAGGUCAGGAGUUCGAGACCAGCCGGGCCAACAUAGUGAAACCCUGUCUCUACUAAAAAUACAAAAAUUAGCUGGGUGUGGUGGCGCCGCCUGUAGUCCCAGCCACUCGGGAGGGUGAGGCAGAAGAAUCGCUCGAACCCGGGAGGUGGAGGUUGCAGUGAGCCGAGAUCGCCCCACCGCACACCAGCCUGGGCGACAGUGUGAGACUUUGUCUCAAAAAAAAAAAAAUGCUAUGUAAAUGGUAUGAUUCCAUUUACGUAGCAUUCUUGAAACGACAAAAUGUAGGUAGAGGAACAGAUCAGUGGUUUCCAUUGUCAGGACUGGGCAUGGGGAAGUGUGGCUGUAC
rnacentral:lncRNA from 1 species